CUGGGUCCCGGGGCGGGCGGAAGGGACAAGUAUGUUAAGCAAAAAAAACGAUCAGCACUUGGUCUACGGCAGCAGGAGCUGAGAAAGUCUCACUCUGCUGCCCAGGCUGGAGUGCAGUGGCUCGAUCUUGGCUCACUGAAAUGGAAGUGACCUCUUUUCAAAUAGGGCAUGGCAGGGAAAGGGGGAGGAAAAUGGCAAAGUCUGCCCCAUAAACUCGAGACCAAGAUCCCCAAUUUCUUCCCCUGGUGGACCCAGCCACAGGC